AGUCGUAACAAGGUUUCCGUAGGUGAACCUGCGGAAGGAUCAUUACCGUUACUCUGUGUCUUGCACACACUGUAAACCACUGUGAACUGUUUUGAGCUUGUGGGGUGGUUCUUGUUUGCACUAACAUGCUCUCGAGAGCCUCAAAUGCAGUUAGACAGCUGAGGCUGGCUGCUGCGGCCCCACAUGUCUAUCUAUUAUGUUUUUUCAAAACACUAUCAUUCCAGUUGAAUAUCACUCUGUUGGUCAGUCAGUUCAGCUGACUGGCUCAGUUUGAUAAGUUGAAACACAUGACAACUUCUAACGGUGGAUCUCUUGGCUCGUGCAUCGAUGAAGAACGUAGCCAGUUGCGAUAAGUAGUGUGAAUUGCAGAAUUCAGUGAAUCAUCGAAUCUUUGAACGCAAAUUGCGCUCUCUGGAUAUCCAGGGAGCAUGCCUGUCUGAGUGUCGUGAUAAAAACUACACACCCCUGGUGUGGCAUGUGGGUAUCGAGUUUGCAGUUUGCUCCGGCGCUCUGUACUAAACUCGUCCUGCGAAGUGCGUGAACCUGAAUGUGCUGCUGAUUGCAUGUGCAUUGGGAAGGCUCAACUUGCUUCUGUCUUUCCCUCUGCGUUCUCAUGCCAGCAGCGUCAUUGUAGAUGGUGAACAAGACGCUGUCCCACCUGNGACAUGCUGUCAAUUUCUUGAUUUUGACCUCAGAUCAGAACAGACUACCCGCUGAAUUUAAGCAUAUCAAUA
rnacentral:rRNA from 1 species